rnacentral:rRNA from 1 species
AGAGUUUGGAUCCUGGCUCAGAACGAACGCUGGCGGCAUGCCUAACACAUGCAAGUCGAACGAGACCUUCGGGUCUAGUGGCGCACGGGUGCGUAACGCGUGGGAAUCUGCCCUUGGGUUCGGAAUAACAGCGGGAAACUGCUGCUAAUACCGGAUAAUGACGUAAGUCCAAAGAUUUAUCGCCCAAGGAUGAGCCCGCGUAGGAUUAGCUAGUUGGUGAGGUAAAGGCUCACCAAGGCGACGAUCCUUAGCUGGUCUGAGAGGAUGAUCAGCCACACUGGGACUGAGACACGGCCCAGACUCCUACGGGAGGCAGCAGUGGGGAAUAUUGGACAAUGGGCGAAAGCCUGAUCCAGCAAUGCCGCGUGAGUGAUGAAGGCCUUAGGGUUGUAAAGCUCUUUUACCCGGGAUGAUAAUGACAGUACCGGGAGAAUAAGCUCCGGCUAACUCCGUGCCAGCAGCCGCGGUAAUACGGAGGGAGCUAGCGUUGUUCGGAAUUACUGGGCGUAAAGCGCGCGUAGGCGGCUUUGUAAGUUAGAGGUGAAAGCCUGGAGCUCAACUCCAGAAUUGCCUUUAAGACUGCAUCGCUUGAAUCCAGGAGAGGUGAGUGGAAUUCCGAGUGUAGAGGUGAAAUUCGUAGAUAUUCGGAAGAACACCAGUGGCGAAGGCGGCUCACUGGACUGGGUAUUUGACGCUGAGGUGCGAAAGCGGGGGAGCAACAGGAUUAGAUAC